GGAGUGACUGGAGUCCAGGCGUGCGCAUUUUGAGAAACUUGAUUUUUAACUUGUGUCACAGGAUGUGAUUUACGUUCCUGAGUUCUACGCUUUCGAUUAGAUUUUCUUUUUUUCGAACCGCACUUACAUGAAAUACAAUCAUUUUAAUAAAUCUAAUAUUACUUGAAUUUUCAAUUUGAGUAUUAGGUUCCCUCCAUUUAUUUAAUCGAACAUCAUUGAAAAUUUGCGAAAUGAAUUCUGAUAAUUAUUCGGA